rnacentral:rRNA from 1 species
UAGGGAAUCUUCCACAAUGGACGCAAGUCUGAUGGAGCAACGCCGCGUGAGUGAAGAAGGUCUUCGGAUCGUAAAACUCUGUUGUUAGAGAAGAACACGAGUGAGAGUAACUGUUCAUUCGAUGACGGUAUCUAACCAGCAAGUCACGGCUAACUACGUACCACG